CUAGUUUAAACAAUUAAUGUAACCACCUAUAUAUAUUAAUUACACAAACUUAUUAAUUAUAUCAAAAUAUUUCAAUAAGAAUUUCUAAUUCUAACAUAAGAACAAACAUUGGUAUCAAAACUACUAAAAUAAACCAUAAUCUUUAAAAGAAUAGUUCAACCUCCUAAUGAAUUCACUGAUGUAAUCUUCAUGGUUUUUGACUUCACCUUCUUUAACACAAUGGUUUAUCUUCUUUUAGCAAACAAGUUUCCUUUGUAACCUGUAAAUAAAAAUAAGGAAGAGUAGAAAACAUCUAAAUUAUAUAUACAUACAAUAAAUAAUAAGCAUAAAUGAAAGUAUAACUUUCACAAAAUUAAUUUAGGUUAUCAAGUUUGAUUACAUGAAUUAGCCUCUUACAUACAUGGAUUGUGCUCCUUUCAAUUCAUUAUAAGAAAAAAAAAAUUAUAUUAUGAAGAGUUUUCAAAAUAAAAUAUAACAUAUUAUUCUAAUGUAGAUAAAAAGCUCUCCAUUGUCAUCUCUAUGUUGCACCUUUAGAGCUUUACUUCAAAACAGACCUCAUAAAGAAUUCAUCAAUGUAAAACUAGACAUACAAAAUGUUUCAUUAAGGAGACCAAUGAGUUGAAACUAAAUAAAUAAAUUCGUACUCUAUCAACAAAAUACCUUAACUACAAUUUCAACUAACAUAUUAUACUUUCCCCAAAAUAAGGAAAAAAUGUACUUAAAUUUUUUUAAAAAGUUUGAUUUUUUAUUCAACAACAUAGAAGAAAUAAAUUUUGUUUUUAUAAGAUAAUAUAUUGUAUUUUUAGUAUACAUUAACAGUUAAAUUAAAUCUUUAAUAAACUCAUAGGCUCUAAGUUAAUAAAUAUGCAUUAAACGCUUAUUAUAAAGUGUAUAUAUGAGUUAGGGUUCCUUCGUAUGGACAUUUAAUGGUGAACUCUUAAAGCAUUCUUGAAUACAAGAAUAAGUCUUAUAAUGUUAAAAAAUAUAUAUAUAUACCAAGGUCCAAUCACUAUGUUUCGAUCAAAAUUUUAUUUUUAAUUUCUUAUAUUUUUUUUUGCUUAACUAGUUUUUUUUUUUUUUUUUUCCAGUUCCUUUGAUUUUUGUUUAUUUUGAUAGUAAGAGGAGCUUGUAAUUUACUUAGAUGAGGUAUGAUAAAAAUCCUAAGAAGUAUAGACUUAUUUUUAUAUUUUAUUUCAACAAACCCAUGAAACAUGACAUUGCUUUAUUUAAGAUAUUUUUAUGAUAUUAUAAAGUUAUAGUACAAAUAGAAUUCUAUCUUAUUAGCAGUUAACCCCUUACUCCUAGUUGUCAUAAUCAUUACCUUCUACUCCUUGUUCUCAUAUAGAAUGAUAGCCUUUUUUUUUUUUGUCUAUAUCCUUGAUAGAAGGCCACUUUGUCUAAUUAGUGCAACUCAUUGCAUUGAACAAUAUGAAGAUAUAUUAUUGAAAAAUAUUGAAAGUUGGAUCUCCUGUUAAUUAAUAUUAUAAACAAAUAUUUUAGAAAAUAUAGAAAAAUACAAACAUGUUGAGGAGAACACAAAUAUGAACCCAUAUAUAGAAUAGUCAAACUUUUGUAUUUCCCUCUUGGUAUUAGUUGUGGUCAAUAAUAAGCCAUCCAGAGUAACUUUUGGCAACAAUUUGAUUAAUAUUUAAUACUUAAAACGAAACAAGAACAAGGAAUAGUAAGAAGUCAAACUUUAACAUACACCUCUUCUAUGUAGAGGCUACUAAUAGGCAAUGGAGGAGCAACUACUAUUAUGAUGUUAUAACAGCUUAGGAGAUUUAGACUCAUUUAAAUUUUAAUAAGCUAACUAUACUAUGUAAUACAAUAGUCAAUAAGGAAAAUACAACUUGCAUAUAUAAUGAAAAUAAUUAAGAAACCCAAUCACAAUACUAAAUAUUAACCAAAUAUAUAUUCAACCUAAAAGUUCAAGUAGUUGAAUGUUUUUCUGAAAUAAAUGAUAGAGCAAUCAUGCAAUUUUAAUGAAUUUAUUCUAGAUCUAAGGAGAAAUUAAAAAUAAAUAAAUAAAUUGUGAUUUGGCCUUUGUGAUUCAACCUUGAGGAAUGGUAAAUUAGGAGCAGUAGAAUUAGAUCAAUCAAAAGAGAAUAGCCAUAAAAAUUUCAAAAAUAAUAAAAAUAGUAACAAGAGUUUAAUUGUGCUCACUUUUUAUCACAUUCUUAGAUGGUGGAGUAGAACACUCUAUCCCUUGCUAUUUUUCACUAUUUCUUUCUCUCUCUCCUCCAAGCUAGGAAGAGAAAAGUGAUUUAUAACUAGAUAGAUAAAUAUAUUAAAAAAAGAAAAAUUAUAAUUAAUAAAUGAAAAUAUGAAGAAGAGAGAUAAGAUGUUAUGACAGUGCCUAGUAUUUCUAUUAACAUUCAACUAAAAUUACAAUUCAGGAUAGAAAGAAAACAUGGAAAAUCAAUCACUGACACUAUCAAAUUCCUAAGCCAAAAUUACUGUUGGUACAGUUUAAGUUAGUAUUUUGAAUCUUUAAGGCCCAUUCAUCUCCUACAUCAUUAAAACAAGCCAAAUAAUUGUUGCAACCCCCAAAUUAAGAAAUAGAGAGAAACAUCAAUUGUUAAAGUUAAUGGAAAUUUAAUUUGAAUUCUUCAUUAGUAAAAAUUAAAUAUAUAUAUAUAUAUAUAUAUUUAGGAGUAAUAUAUUUCCAAAUAUGAUAUAACAUCAAAAAUUAAAAGUGACAAAUCAUAAUACCCCAAAACAAGAAGAAGAUAAAUGAAACAUGACAUAAACAUUAACUAACCCAAAAUAAAUUCAACAAGAUGAAAAUUUACCUGAGUAAAAUUAGCAAGGAAAAAGAAGGAGAAGGUAGUUGGGUUGGGAAUGGUGACCCUUUAUUAUACUAUGAAAGCAGCAAUGAAUCAACUUCUUCACAAGCAUGAUGAUGUUUAGAAAAAAGCAUCUCAAGUUUUGACUUUAAAAUUUGAAAGAAAAGCAAUUAGCUAUGAACAUUAAGUUGGGUUUAAUCAUACUUAAUAUUAUAACUAUGAAAUUAUUAUAACUAAGGCAAUAGAACUUACUUCUUAUUUGGAGUUAGAUUUUUCCAACCUUAAUCUUUGGAAUGAGAAAAAAUGAUGUUAGAGAUUAGAGGAGUCGAAACGAGGAGCAAAUUAUUCUCAAUAACUCUUACUGAACCUCAUAAGAGUACAAGUUUGAAGAAUGAAAGCUUUAAGAAAGGAUUUGGAUUAGUACAAUAUAAGGAUCCAUACACAUUUAAAGCUUUAAAGAAGAUUGGCCAAUUGAGUAAAUGUGAUUUAUAGUUAUUUGGUUAAUGCAAAUGAGCUAGUUGGGCACUUGGUUGGGAAAGUGAUGAAAAGUAUGACUCCUAGUUGGGUAAUUACUUGGUUAUUUAGGAGAAAACUUAAUUUUAAAUAAAAUAAAUAAAUAGUUUUUGUGAGAUUUUAUAUGAAACUUGAGAAAUAGUAAGAAAAAGAAAAUAAAUAAUACAAAGGCAAUUUAAUUUUCUAUUUAGUUGGUUUCAAAGAUAUAAAGAAAAAUGAAAUAGAAUAAAUUUUUUGAGAAUUUAUACAAUUUUAGAGGAAGAAAAUUGGAGGAUUGUGGCACAAAAAUAAGAAUUUAAUUUAAAUUUUUAUUAUAUUUUUUUUCACUUCUUUAUUUUCAUUUUCAUGUUUUUUUUUUCUCCUUAUACUUGGUUCAAAUUUUCUAUAAACUAAAUCUAAGCAUAAAAGUUUGUUGAUAUAUAUAUAUAGUUUGGUAAGGGGUCAUUAUAAACUCAUGGCAAAAUUGUUCAAAGGCUAAAAAGGGUCAUUGUCGAGAUGAUCUUAGAAUCUCACAAUAAUGUUUGUGAAGGUAGAAAAAAUUCUUGAUGAUGCCCUAAUUGUGAAGGAGUAUAUCAAUUCUAGAAAUAAAGAAUUUGAGAGAGGUGGGUGGCUCACAAUUUUUUUUUUUUAUAUAAGCAAGAAAAAUUACAUUAAUGGAAUCUAACAAAAAAUGCAACAAAGUAAACAACUAGGUGAGUUUUCCUGUUAUUGGUUUUGGAUGAGAUGCAUUUUAGAUAGAAAUAGUUAAGUUGGAUUAGAUUUCCCUUCCUUUUCAAAAUCACCCACAAUAGUAACAAGAAAGCCUAAGACCUUUUGAGUAGGGUAGAAAGUAUAGGUCAUUGGAGCCAAAAAUUCUGAAACAGGAAGAUUCAAGAUAAUUCCUAAUGAAAUUUAGGAUAUGUGUUGUCUAUUCAAAGAAAAAGAAUAGGUAGUGCUUAUAUAGCUCAUUGAAGAAAAUGGGAGAAGGAAGAAUGAUAGAGAAUUUCAGUUGUAAUUUAUCUAUAAAAAAACUAAUCACAAAAAGUUACAAAAGUUGCACCUAGUAGGUUUGAAGAUUGACUUGAACUUGGAUGCUCAUUAAGGUCACUAGAGAAGUUCAUCAUAUGGCAAUAAGCCAAAAUUUCAAUGAGCAUAUCUAAAUUAAAUAUGAUUUCCCAAUUAAAUUUUAACCCUUUGCUAUGGUUUAUUAGAAUUCAUUUCAUUAUAGUACUUUGGAAACAUGCAAGUUGGUGGAUAUGAUCUAUAAAAUGAAAUCCACAAAGCCUCUUUGCAUCAGUGUUCGCAAGAAUGAUCUAAAGAUUGUGAUGGACUUGCUAGCUUUGCUCUGACAUUUCUGUUUCCUUCUAGGAAUCAAGCAGGAUUGAAAAUCAAAAUUUUUAAAUAACUAUAUCAACCAUUGUUUGCUAUUAGAAACAUCAACACUACCAAUGAGGUAACACAUCACAAGAUGCCAUCUAUAUAUACUAAUAAGGUCACUCACAUAUAUUAUACUUCAGAUAUAAUCUUCAUAAACACUGGAGAAGUGGGAGUGCAUCACCUGAAUUCGAGAUCAAGCCUUCUACAGCAAUCUUAGAACUUCAUAAGCUCCAUUGAAGGAGUAGAAAACCUAUUACAC
rnacentral:lncRNA from 1 species